rnacentral:rRNA from 1 species
CGGGUGAGUAAUGUCUGGGAAACUGCCUGAUGGAGGGGGAUAACUACUGGAAACGGUAGCUAAUACCGCAUAACGUCGCAAGACCAAAGAGAGGGACCUUCGGGCCUCUUGCCAUCGGAUGUGCCCAGAUGGGAUUAGCUAGUAGGUGGGGUAACGGCUCACCUAGGCGACGAUCCCUAGCUGGUCUGAGAGGAUGACCAGCCACACUGGAACUGAGACACGGUCCAG